AUUGAACGCUGGCGGAAUGCUUUACACAUGCAAGUCGAGCGGCAGCGCGGGGCAACCUGGCGGCGAGCGGCGAACGGGUGAGUAACAUAUCGGAACGUACCCAGUCGUGGGGGAUAACUAUCCGAAAGGAUAGCUAAUACCGCAUACGACCUGAGGGUGAAAGCGGGGGACCGAAAGGCCUCGCGCGAUUGGAGCGGCCGAUAUCGGAUUAGCUAGUUGGUGAGGUAAAGGCUCACCAAGGCGACGAUCCGUAGCUGGUCUGAGAGGACGACCAGCCACACUGGAACUGAGACACGGUCCAGACUCCUACGGGAGGCAGCAGUGGGGAAUUUUGCGCAAUGGGGGAAACCCUGACGCAGCAACGCCGCGUGGGUGAUGAAGGUCUUCGGAUUGUAAAACCCUGUCGCCAGGGACGAAGGUGCUUCGGUUAAUAACCGGGGUGCUUGACGGUACCUGGAAAGGAAGCCCCGGCUAACUCUGUG
rnacentral:rRNA from 1 species